rnacentral:lncRNA from 1 species
AGGAAACAGGAAGAGCGAGUACAGCAAGUACGCAAGAAAUUGGAAGAAGCACUGAUGGCAGACAUCUUGUCGCGAGCUGCUGAUACAGAAGAGAUGGAUAUUGAAAUGGACAGUGGAGAUGAAGCCUAAGAAUAUGAUCAGGUAACUUUCGACCGACUUUCCCCAAGAGAAAAUUCCUAGAAAUUGAACAAAAAUGUUUCCACUGGCUUUUGCCUGUAAGAAAAAAAAUGUACCCGAGCACAUAGAGCUUUUUAAUAGCACUAACCAAUGCCUUUUUAGAUGUAUUUUUGAUGUAUAUAUCUAUUAUUCAAAAAAUCAUGUUUAUUUUGAGUCCUAGGACUUAAAAUUAGUCUUUUGUAAUAUCAAGCAGGACCCUAAGAUGAAGCUGAGCUUUUGAUGCCAGGUGCAAUCUACUGGAAAUGUAGCACUUACGUAAAACAUUUGUUUCCCCCACAGUUUUAAUAAGAACAGAUCAGGAAUUCUAAAUAAAUUUCCCAGUUAAAGAU